rnacentral:piRNA from 1 species
UGAGAUGGGUCACUUCUUCACUUAUGA